rnacentral:rRNA from 1 species
AUAUCAAUAAGCGGAGGAAAAGAAACCAACAGGGAUUGCCUUAGUAACGGCGAGUGAAGCGGCAAUAGCUCAAAUUUGAAAUCUGGCACCUUUGGGUGUCCGAGUUGUAAUUUGUAGAGGAUGUUUCGGUAUUGCCACUAAUCUAAGUCCCUUGGAACAGGGUGUCAUAGAGGGUGAGAGUCCCGUAUGUGAUUAGUUGUCUUUGCCAUGUGAAACUCCUUCGACGAGUCGAGUUGUUUGGGAAUGCAGCUCUAAUUGGGAGGUAAAUUUCUUCUAAAGCUAAAUACUGGCCAGAGACCGAUAGCGCACAAGUAGAGUGAUCGAAAGAUGAAAAGCACUUUGGAAAGAGAGUUAAACAGUACGUGAAAUUGUUGAAAGGGAAGCGCUUGCAAUCAGACUUGCUUGCAGUUAUUCAUCUAAACUUUCGGGUUUAGUGCAUUUUUCUGUAAGUCAGGCCAGUAUCAGUUCAGGCGGUUGGAUAAAGAAUUCAGGAAUGUAGCUCCUUUCGGGGAGUGUUAUAGCCUGUUUUGUAAUGCAACCAGCCUGGAUUGAGGACCGCGCUUCGGCUAGGAUACUGGCGUAAUGGUUGUAAGCGG